CCCCCGCCGCAAGUGGAUAAUAUUAAUAGUGUAAAAAUAUGCAAGUGUUCGGUAAACAGGAAGUUGUCGAGUGAUGAAUCUGAAAACUCAUCACACGGUAUAGCUGACGUAUAUAAAUCCUGAAACCAAAUUUCAGAAAUCCUUGUAUUGUAGUUCCUGAGAAAAAUGUGACGAAAAUUUUCAACUUGGCUAUCAUGUGUAAAAUCAUACAAGUGUUCGGUAAACAGGAAGUUGUCGAGUGAACAAUCUGAAAACGCAUCACACGGUAUAGCUGACUUAGAUCAACCCUGAGACCAAAUUUCAGAAAUCCUUGUAUUGUAGUUCCUUACAAAAA
rnacentral:lncRNA from 1 species